UUGAAAAAAAUGAAAAUUUGAAUAAUUUGAAAUUGAAAAACCAAAAAAAUAUCAAAUCGGAAUGUUGAAAAAUCGAAAAAUUUGGUAAUAAAGAAAAUAAAAAAAUUAAAAAUUGAGACCUCGAGUAACUCAAAUCAUUUCAUACUUAUAUUUUGUCCUGUAAUUAGGGAAACCUGUUGAGCAAUAAACUUCUUCUUCUUCUUAUUAUUAUUAUUAUGGAAAUUUGAAAAAUUUUACAAUGUAAAAUUGAAGAAUUGAAAAACUUUAAUCAAUAGAAUUUAUCCGAGAACAAAAACCGCAAAAAAUGUUACAAACUUUCAAAGAAGUGAAGUUUGUGGACUGUACUUUGAGGCGCGGGAAGUUCUCUCGAAGCAACCUUCGACCAACUUUUGACACCUAUCUCUGGUCCCAAACCCUUCCCAUGGUACAAAAUCGCCCUGCAACAAAUCUACUUGCAAAUUCAUCAUCCUAUCGAUCGCCCGUUAUUACUGUUAUCUAUUUGAUAAGGCUGUCAUUAAUAACCGAAGGAUUUUCCUGCCACGUGACAUUUCGGGAUUUAUGUCGUGUUUCGGUUGUAAAACUGUUGAUGUUGAGGACUGCUACUUUUCGCAACGUUCGCCAACUUUAUUUAUCGAUCCUUUCCGGCUCUAUCUUUUGUCUCGUUCUUUUAACUUUAUAAAAAUAGGAACAUGAUUUCGUGGCUUUCGCUGCAUUAUUAAUAUUCCAUGGAAAUAUGUAAUUCUGAUAUAGCUUUGACUCGCGUAUCGCUGAUAAAACGCUGAUAAAUCUGCACGGCCGGCCGUAAUAACAAGUGUCGAGGUAUUUCCGGGUACAAAUAUGGAGCAAAAUUAAUUGAAAGAAGGUGUGCUUUGAUAUUACGUGAACAAGGCUCCGGGGAGCUAAGACGCUUAUUUUCUCUGAUGAAAGCAGUGCACUAAUUGCUAAUUAGACGAAGUCCCGUGUAAAAAUGUAACAAAGACAGGAUUAGUCCAACGGCGAAUUGUAACCGUUACUCCGUCAAAUACUACACCUGUUCGAUCGGGCGAAACUCCUGGCAACGGCCGCAGAACUAAAAUAAAUUAUCGGCUUCUAUCUCAUGAAAUUUCCAGGACGAUGAUCUGAAGAAUAAUUUAUCGUACAAUCGAUAGCUGAGAAACGUUCGUCCCUAAAUAGCGAUUCGACAGUUAGUCUUGAAGGUUGGGUUUCGUCAUAAAUGGUAGCAGCUUUGAACUUAAUUGUAUCUAAAUUAAUUGGUAAAUGGAAUUAGGUGUUUCGUGUUUGGUUCUUAAAUGAAGCUCGAAUUGUUGUUACUUUGUGUUGCUGACAUGGAGCUCUGACUUUGUGCAUGAGGUAUCAAUAUUGCGUUGUAAAUCACUUUGAUUACGAUCUCGUAAUGAAGUCCGCUGGUUGUGACACCCAGGGCUGUGACGUUCCACUAAUUGGAACUGUGCUUUUAUAAAGCUGUAACUAGAUUUUCCAGACUUGCGGAAAAAACUGCAAUUUGUAGUCGGCGUGGGGUUUAAAGGAAACACAUGUCGGUGUUAACAAGAUUUUAGUUUAGACGUGGUUUAGGGGGAUCGAUCACGAGGGUUUGAAUUUCUGAAAGUGUCUUGUCCGAGAUUUCGGGGUUAUUUUCUUUGACGCCUGGUUUGAAUAUUUUUACGUUGCCUAGUCGUAUACAUUUUACGAAGAGUUUCCGCCUGUUUGUCUGUCCGUCUGUCUGCCGUACCCAGAUUUUUAUUAGACAGAUAAUCUCAGAAAGUACCGGGCCAAAUGUUGUUAAAGUUUGUAUUUAUAUUAAGACUAUUAUGUAUAUCGUAAAACGAUAACCGAAAUUUGUCUAAUUCAGUUUUACCCACCCCUUUUUCGUUCCAGUGACUAUUCUUAAUAUUGCUUAGUUCUCUCUUAGCAAGUUCUAGCCCCGCCCACCCACCCUUUUUUUUAUUAUAUUAUAUGUUCUUUUGUAAAGUGAGAAUGGGAACUAAUAGAACAUACGCUAUUUAAAAGAAAGCGUUAAUCGCAUUUUUUUGUUAUACUACUUAUUUGCUAAAGUAUUUAUUUCUGAAGAAAAAACUGACAGAACGGGUGGGUGGAAGGGGCUAAGUUUAACUUUUUCGCGCUGAGUCAUUUAUAAGCAAGCAAUAACCCCGCCCACCCUCCCGCUCUUCAUUUCAACAGUUGGGGUCCAUGAGAAGGUUUCACAUACUUAAAAAGUUAGUACCUCUGAAAAAGUUUCAGUUUCUUCAUAAAAAAAGACAGCUGGGGACCAUGAGUAGGUUUAACUUUCUUAAAAAAAAAACAGCUGGGGACCAUCAGUAGGUUUUAUUUUCUUCUAAAAAAGACUGAUAGUGCCCCUGAGAAGGUUUUACAAUCUUAAAACAGUCAGUUGGGUCCCCCGAGAAGGUUUUACCUUCCUUAAAUAUAGGCAGUUGAAAUCACUGCGAAGGUUUCACAUGUUUAAAUACUCGCUUCGCUUAUGCUCGGGAUGUAAAAAAGACAGUUGGAGCCCUUGAGAAGGGUUCACUUUCUUAAGAAAAACACAGUCGGAGCCUCUGAGAAGGUUUACUUUCUUCAAAAAACGACGAUUGGGACCCUUGACAAGGUUUCACAUACAUGAAAAAACAGUUGGAGCCCUUGAGAAGGAUUUACCUUCUUCAAAACACAAACCCACUUGGGGUCCCUGAGAAGGUUUCACUUGCUUAAAAAAAGAUAGUUGGUGCCUCUGAGGAGGUUUCAUUUUCGUCGAAAAAAGACAACUGGGGCCCUUGAGAAGGUUUUACCCUCUUGAAAUUUAGGCAUUUGAGAACCCUGAGAAGGUUUCAAUUUUUUUAAAUAAGACGAUUGGGACCCUUGACAAGGUUUUACCCUCUUCAAAAAUUGACAUUUGAGAUCCCUGAGAAGGUUUUACAUAUAUGGAAAAAACAGUUGGAGCCCUUGAGAAGGUUUUACUUUCUUCAAAAGAAAAACACACUUGGGGCCGUUGAGAAGGUUUCACUUGCUUAAAAAAAGACAGUUGGUGCCCCUGAGAAGGUUUCACUUUCGUCGGAAAAAAACGAUUGGGGCCCUUGACAAGGUUUUAUCCUCUUCAAAAAUAGGCAUUUGAGAUCUCUGAGAAGGUUUCACAUACAAGGAAAAAACAGUUGGAGCCCUUGAGAAGGAUUUACCUUCUUCAAAACAAAAACCCACUUGGGGUCCCUGAGGAGGUUUCACUUGCUUAAAAAAAGAUAGUUGGUGCCUCUGAGGAGGUUUCACUUUCGUCGAAAAAAGACGACUGGGGCCCUUGAGAAGGUUUUACCCUCUUCAAAUUUAGGCAUUUGAGAACCCUGAGAAGGUUUCAAUUUUUUCAAAUAAGACGAUUGGCACCCUUGACAAGGUUUUACCCUCUUCAAAAAUUGACAUUUGAGAUCCCUGAGAAGGUUUUACAUAUAUGGAAAAAACAGUUGGAGCCCUUGAGAAAGUUUUACUUUCUUCAAAACAAAAACACACUUGGGGCCCCAGAGAAGAUUUCACUUGCUUAAAAAAAGACAGUUGGUGCCCCUGAGAAGGUUUCACUUUCGUCGGAGAAAAACGAUUGGGACCCUUGAGAAGGUUUUACCCUCUUCAAAAAUAGACAUUUGAGAUCUCUGAGAAGGUUUCACAUACAAGGAAAAAACAGUUGGAGCCCUUGAGAAGAGUUUAUUUUCUUCAAAACAAAAACACACUUGGGGCCCCCGAGAAGCUUUCACUUGCUUAAAAAAAAAAACAGUUGAGGCAAGAGGAGGUCCCACUUUCUUCAAAAAAAGACAGCUGGGGACAAUGAGUAGGUUUUACUUUCUUCUAAAAAAGACUGCUAGUGCCUCUGAGAAGAUUUUACAAUCUUAAAACAGUCAGUUGGAUCCCCCGAGAAGGUUUUACCUUCUUUAUAAAUAGGCAAUUGAAACCACUGAGAAGGUUUCACAUGCUCAAAUACUCGCUUCGCUUACGCUCAGGAAGUAAAAAAACAGUUGGAGCCCUUGAGAAGGGUUCACUUUCUUAUGAAAAACACAGUCGAAGCCCCUGAGAAUGUCUCACUUUCUUCAAAAAAGACGAAUGGGGCCCUUGAGAAGGUUUUAUCCUCUUCAAAAAUAUGCAUUUGAGAUCCCUGAGAAGGUUUCACAUCCAUGAAAAAAACAGUCGGAGCAUUUGAGAAGGGUUCACAUUUUUCAAAACAAAAAUACACUUGGGGCCAAAGAGAAGAUUUCAUUUGCUUAAAAAAAAGACAGUUGGUGCCCCAGAGAAUGUUUCACUUUCGUCGAAAAAAGAUGACUAGGGCCCGUCAGAAGGUUUUACCUUCUUCAAAUAUAGGCAUUUGUGACCCCUGAGAAGGUUUCAAUUUCUUAAAAAAAAGACGAUUGGGACCCUUGACAAGGUUUUACCCUAUGCAAAAAUAGGCACUUGAGAUCCCUGAGAAGGUUUUACAUACAUGAAAAAACAGUUGGAGCCCUUGAGAAAGGUUUACUUUCUUCAAAACAAAAACACACUUGGGGCCCCUGAGAAGGUUUCACUUUCUUCCAAAAAUGACGAUUGGGGCCCUUGAGAAGGUUUUACCCUCUUUACAAAUAGUCAUUUUAGACCACUGAGAAGGUUUCACAUACAUGAAAAAAACCGUUGGAGCCCCUGAGAAGGUUUAACUUUCGUCCAAAAAAAGACGAUUGGGGCCCUUGAGAAGGUUUUACCCUCUUCAAAUCUAGGCAUUUGAAACCACUGAGAAGGUUUCACAUGCUUAAACACUCUCGCUUCGCUUACGCUCGGAAAUUAAAAAAGAAGGUUGGAGCCCUUGAGAAUGGUUCACUUUCUUAAGAAAAACACAGUCGGAGCCUCUGACAAGGUUUACUUUCUUCAAAAAAAGUCCAUUGGGGCCCUUGAGAAGGUUUUACCCUCUUCAAAAAAAGACAUUUGAGAUCCCUGAGAAGGUUUCAUAUCCAUGAAAAAAACAGUAGGAGCCCUUGAGAAGAGUUCACUUUCUUCAAAACAAAAACACACUUGAGGCCCCAGAGAAGGUUUCACUUACUUAAAAAAAGACUGUUGUUGCCCCUGAGAAUGUUUCACUUUCGUCGAAAUAAGACGAUUGGGACCCUUGAGAAGGUUUUACCCUCUUUAGAUUUAGGUAUUUGAGACCCCUGAGAAGGUUUCAAUUUCUUCAAAUAAGACGAUUGGGACCCUUGACAAGGUUUAACCCUCUUUAAAAAUAGGCAUUUGAGAUCCCUGAGAAGGUUUCACAUACAUGAAAAAAACAGUUGGAGUCCUUGAGAAGGGUUUACUUUCUUCAAAACAAAAACGUACUUGGGGCCCCUGAGAAGGUUUCACUUGCUUAAAAAAAAAAGACAGUUGGGGCUAAGAGGAGGUCCCA